ACGUACACUCCUACGGGAGGCAGCAGUGGGGAAUUUUGGACAAUGGGCGAAAGCCUGAUCCAGCCAUGCCGCGUGCAGGAUGAAGGCCUUCGGGUUGUAAACUGCUUUUGUACGGAACGAAACGGCCUUUUCUAAUAAAGAGGGCUAAUGACGGUACCGUAAGAAUAAGCACCGGCUAACUACGUGCCAGCAGCCGCGGUAAUACGUAGGGUGCAAGCGUUAAUAGGAAUUACUGGGCGUAAAGCGUGCGCAGGCGGUUAUGUAAGACAGUUGUGAAAUCCCCGGGCUCAACCUGGGAACUGCAUCUGUGACUGCAUAGCUAGAGUACGGUAGAGGGGGAUGGAAUUCCGCGUGUAGCAGUGAAAUGCGUAGAUAUGCGGAGGAACACCGAUGGCGAAGGCAAUCCCCUGGACCUGUACUGACGCUCAUGCACGAAAGCGUGGGGAGCAAACAGGAUUAGAAACCCUAGUAGUCCCAUGAU
rnacentral:rRNA from 1 species